rnacentral:rRNA from 1 species
UCCAGAGAACUUAGCAGAGAUGCUUUGGUGCCUUCGGGAACUCUGAGACAGGUGCUGCAUGGCUGUCGUCAGCUCGUGUUGUGAAAUGUUGGGUUAAGUCCCGNAACGAGCGCAACCCUUAUCCUUUGUUGCCAGCGGUUCGGCCGGGAACUCAAAGGAGACUGCCGGUGAUAAACCGGAGGAAGGUGGGGAUGACGUCAAGUCAUCAUGGCCCUUACGGCCAGGGCUACACACGUGCUACAAUGGCGCAUACAAAGAGAAGCGACCUCGCGAGAGCAAGCGGACCUCAUAAAGUGCGUCGUAGUCCGGAUUGGAGUCUGCAACUCGACUCCAUGAAGUCGGAAUCGCUAGUAAUCGUAGAUCAGAAUGCUACGGUGAAUACGUUCCCGGGCCUUGUACACACCGCCCGUCACACCAUGGGAGUGGGUUGCAAAAGAAGUAGGUAGCUUAACCUUCGGGAGGGCGCUUACCACUUUGUGAUUCAUGACUGGGGUGAAGUCGUAACAAGGUAAGCGUAGCGAG